AUUGAACGCUGGCGGCAGGCCUAACACAUGCAAGUCGAACGGUAACAGGAAACAGCUUGCUGUUUCGCUGACGAGUGGCGGACGGGUGAGUAAUGUCUGGGAAACUGCCUGAUGGAGGGGGAUAACUACUGGAAACGGUAGCUAAUACCGCAUAACGUCGCAAGACCAAAGAGGGGGACCCUCGGGCCUCUUGCCAUCGGAUGUGCCCAGAUGGGAUUAGCUUGUUGGUGGGGUAACGGCUCACCAAGGCGACGAUCCCUAGCUGGUCUGAGAGGAUGACCAGCCACACUGGAACUGAGACACGGUCCAGACUCCUACGGGAGGCAGCAGUGGGGAAUAUUGCACAAUGGGCGUAAGCCUGAUGCAGCCAUGCCGCGUGUAUGAAGAAGGCCUUCGGGUUGUAAAGUACUUUCAGCGGGGAGGAAGGGGGUAAAGUUAAUACCUUUGCUCAUUGACGUUACCCGCAGAAGAAGCACCGGCUAACUCCGUG
rnacentral:rRNA from 1 species